UACAGAGGGUGCGAGCGUUAAUCGGAAUUACUGGGCGUAAAGGGCGCGUAGGCGGUGUGUCAAGUCAGGCGUGAAAGCCCCGGGCUCAACCUGGGAACUGCGCUUGAGACUGGCACGCUCGAGUUCGGGAGAGGAUGGUGGAAUUCCCAGUGUAGAGGUGAAAUUCGUAGAUAUUGGGAAGAACACCGAUGGCGAAGGCAGCCAUCUGGACCGACACUGACGCUGAGGCGCGAAAGCGUGGGGAGCAAACAGG
rnacentral:rRNA from 1 species